rnacentral:rRNA from 1 species
GGGAGGUAGUGACAAUAAAUAACAAUACAGGGCCUUCUGGGUCUUGUAAUUGGAAUGAGUACAAUUUAAAUCUCUUAACGAGGAACAAUUGGAGGGCAAGUCUGGUGCCAGCAGCCGCGGUAAUUCCAGCUCCAAUAGCGUAUAUUAAAGUUGUUGCAGUUAAAAAGCUCGUAGUUGAAUUUUAGGCCUGGCCGGACGGUCCGUCUCGGGCGAGUACUGUUCUGUCGUCGGGUCUAUCUUUCUGGUGAAUCGGUAUGUUCUUAAUUGGGCGUGCCGGGGAGCCAGGACCAUUACCUUGAAAAAAUUAGAGUGUUUAAAGCAGGCUUUUGCUUGAAUAGAUUAGCAUGGAAUAAUAGAAUAGGACGUUGUGGUUCUAUUUUGUUGGUUCAAGGACCACCGUAAUGAUUAAUAGGGAUAGUUGGG